CCUUUUAAUUUAGGAUCUAUUCUCCUACUCUCUGAAUAUUGUUUCCAUAAGCUCCAUGUUAUCUUCAGUUACCUCAACUUGUACAAUGUUAAGUGAGUUAUCAAAACGGUGAAUUACUGUAUUUUGUACAAUGUUGGUUAACACUUAACUUGACUAUUCUUCAUUUUGAAACAUUAGCCGGCAACCUCUCCGACAUGCUGCUCAUGACCACCUCCCCAACCAGAUGUUGUUGGCAGUAGAGGAAGUAUGGAUGGUAAUUUUGUUUCACUCAACAAAAUCCUUGUGUGUGCUAAUUAUGCAUUGGCAGUAGGCAGUAGACUUAGCCAUUUGUCG